rnacentral:rRNA from 1 species
AAUGAACGCUGGCGGCAUGCCUUACACAUGCAAGUCGAACGGCAGCAUGACCUAGCUUGCUAGGUUGAUGGCGAGUGGCGAACGGGUGAGUAAUGCAUCGGAACGUGCCUUUUAGUGGGGGAUAACGUAGCGAAAGUUACGCUAAUACCGCAUGUUCUCUGAGGAGGAAAGCAGGGGACCUUCGGGCCUUGCGCUAGAAGAGCGGCCGAUGUCGGAUUAGCUAGUUGGUGAGGUAAAGGCUCACCAAGGCAACGAUCCGUAGCGGGUCUGAGAGGAUGAUCCGCCACACUGGGACUGAGACACGGCCCAGACUCCUACGGGAGGCAGCAGUGGGGAAUUUUGGACAAUGGGCGCAAGCCUGAUCCAGCCAUGCCGCGUGAGUGAAGAAGGCCUUCGGGUUGUAAAGCUCUUUCGGCUGGGAAGAAAUCGCACCCUCUAAUACAGGGUGUGGAUGACGGUACCAGCAUAAGAAGCACCGGCUAACUACGUG